AAGAAAUUAGUUAAACUUAUAACAUUAGUGUGUCAAACUAAAAUUAUUAAUAAUAAUAUUUCUUU
rnacentral:tRNA from 1 species